GAUGAACGCUGGCGGCGUGCCUAAUACAUGCAAGUCGAGCGAACUGAUUAGAAGCUUGCUUCUAUGACGUUAGCGGCGGACGGGUGAGUAACACGUGGGCAACCUGCCUGUAAGACUGGGAUAACUUCGGGAAACCGAAGCUAAUACCGGAUAGGAUCUUCUCCUCCAUGGGAGAUGAUUGAAUGAUGGUUUCGGCUAUCACUUACAGAUGGGCCCGCGGUGCAUUAGCUAGUUGGUGAGGUAACGGCUCACCAAGGCAACGAUGCAUAGCCGACCUGAGAGGGUGAUCGGCCACACUGGGACUGAGACACGGCCCAGACUCCUACGGGAGGCAGCAGUAGGGAAUCUUCCGCAAUGGACGAAAGUCUGACGGAGCAACGCCGCGUGAGUGAUGAAGGCUUUCGGGUCGUAAAACUCUGUUGUUAGGGAAGAACAAGUACAAGAGUAACUGCUUGUACCUUGACGGUACCUAACCAGAAAGCCACGGCUAACUACGUGCCAGCAGCCGCAGUAACAC
rnacentral:rRNA from 1 species